UCAUGGUCGUGGACCUGGAAGUAAACCACCGUGCUGCGUUGACGUCACCAAAGACAAUGUGAGUGCUGACGUGGUGGGGGAAACAUAUCGUGAGCAGGCUGCAAGGCAUCACUGUGUGAAGGCUAUAAUUUUCAAUACAAAAAAUGGAAAACAACUUUGUGCUGAUCCAGACGCUCAGUGGGUCAAAGAUCUCACUGCCAAAAUGAAGAAGGUGUGAAGCCUGUCUGCUGCAUCAGUAUUUCCAGUAUUUCCAUCACCUUUAACCUCCUGAAAGACCUGAACUCUUUCAUGGCAUGCAUUUUUUAUUUCUCUUUCAUAUUUGGGCAUAUUAGGACCCGAUAAAUGUAAAAACAAAGAAUUACCAGAUAUUUCAUUUUACCUGAGUUUUGUUUCUAAGAAAAAUGAGAGCCGCAUAUGAGGAUAUUCGUUUAAAAUUUUGAUCGAACAGCUGCAGUACAAUGUCCUUGUAAGUAGACUUGUAGUCAAGACCGCCUAAUCCGAGGACCAAGACAAGACCAAGA